CAAACACCAAGUAUUUUAUUGCACCUUUUUAGUUUUUACACUAUUACACAGUUUAUAUUUUCCAUUUUCAACCCUUCCCUUUACUUAAAGAAAUAAAAAAAUUAAAAUAGAUACUUACCUUAAAACAACUUACCUGUAGAUCCUGUCAAAAUUCUGGUCACAUCCUGAGGGCUUGAGAGACAGUUUAGUUAAUCAACCUUCGGAAAACACAGAAGUUUUAUUGACUUGGAGGAUGUCUACCCCACCGGUCCAGAGGGUUUAUUUUCAACUGUUUCAGGCCAUUCAUCAUUUGGAGAUUUUGUCAGGUCCGGAGCCGCCUAAAGGGUCUGAGAACGUCUCUUCGUGUCCGGUUCCCGUCAAGCCCGCGGUGGUCCAGUGUCUCUUUUGCCCAGGCGUAUUUCUCUUAUCUUAUCCUCACUAUAGGGUGCCCGGUUCCCAUCGAGCCAGUAGUGGUCCAGUGUCCCUUUGCCCCGGCAUCCGUCUGAAGCUCGAGAGCCGAGCCAUUUCAAGGCGGCGUCAACGUCUCGCCACAUCGGAGGAGUCGUCAAUGCACUGACUUCCAAAUGAAAGCUGGAAAAGUUUGAUGAGGAAGGGGCAGGAGAACAGAUGAAGUCAAAAAACAAAAUGUGGAGAAGGUCGAAACCGAAGAGAGGAAGAACAAAAGGAGAAACACUGACCCAGAGCUCAAAGCUGAAGCACACAAUCUCGAUUAGACGAGCACCACCAGACGCGACUGCCCCGAUACCAUCCGAUUUUGUUUUUCGCUUCUUUCUUGGCUCUUUUGGUUCGUGUAAAGGUUUUGACGGUUGCUGAAUCUUAUUUUGAUAACAUUUGAUUGUAGACACUUCUACUCAACGAUGUUUAAAAUAUUUGAACGUCUUUUUAGUGACACUGUUUUGUUUUUCCUUUGGGUGCCGCCAUUUUGAGUUUAGUGUGUGUACCGUUGCUAGCCACGUUGCUAUGAAGGAUGACCAGAGGUCACGACCCCUGAUGUCACAAUGCAUCAGGGUAUAAUAGGCCGAGCAGACAUCCCAUUUUUUUUUUUUUUCCCCCCGAGAUGGUCCUGCGCUUAUGUCUCGUGUCCCAGAAUGUAACAGAAUGUCCCGUUUUUUUAAUCAACCAAAACUCCCACUUCGAUUUAAACUACGCUGGAAACAAAAGUGUUGUGUCUCGCUUUGGAACAACGAAAGUCCGCUCGGCACAAACACUUCCUGCUUGUCCGAGUUGUGGAUACACGUCUUUGGUGGUGCGCACAUUUUGCUUAUCGAUCUCCUGGCUCGGCUUUGGGGCUUUUUUUCUGAUUUCUGGUAUUUUGAAUCGGUUUGACGACAGAUCAGUCGGACUUCCUGCUGUUGAACUUUACCAGGCUCUAGACGAGAGCCUCCCAACCACUGGGUGGCGCUGUGGGUCGUGAGUUGCUGUUCAUUAUAAUGGUAAUGAGUUGCAAUGGCCUGUGGCGCUCCAACGAUUACGCUCAAUCUGCUCUGACAUACCAAGGGGGACGCCCCCCCUCCACUCCACAGUGUGGACCCCAAUCCCCCUUCGGUGGGACGUGGAGACACUUACAUAAGAGAAAGGGGGCUACAACACCAAACAGGCUGGGACACACAGCUACAGAGUGCAGUUCAUUGGCUGAUUCCUCCUCAUGAAACAUUCUGUGUGGCAGAACCGUCCCGGUGCAUUGUGGGAAGUGUUACCAUUGGCAACAAGCAACACGAAAUCUUCAAAAUGGGGGCUCCUGUUGGAAAAAACAAAACGACAUUGAAAACACCGUUUUAAAAAAAAUGACUUUUGAAUGAGGUCUCCAAACGAAAUACCAGAGAAGAGGAACGGAUUCACUGGAUUUGAAGACCCCUGAAAAAGUCGUGGAGCUCGUUUUUAAAAACUUCAAGAAAGCCCAAGAAAAAGUAAAUAUAAGCGAGCGCAGUCAGCGUCCAUCGUACUCGUGUAAUCUGAGCACCCACGUCGCGGCAAGUCGACCAAACCGAACGACUCGUGCAGUCUGAGCACAUUUACGACUGGCGAGUCCAGCGUGCCAGGUGAGUAGAUGCUUAACCUGGCAUACUGGUAAGCAAUGCCACAAGUGCCAUAGAAAACAACCCUUCUGUGCCCGCUAUGUUGUGAAGGGUGACCAAUCAGGGAAUGAGAUGUUGUAAUGAGCAGGAGCCAAUCAGAGAAGGGCCAACCGGAGCGUGAUGGAGUCUGCGUUUUCAGAAACCUUUCUUUUCACCCAUCAACACUGAAACGCUGCCAGGCGCUGGAAGACGUUUUCAGAAGUCAUCGCCUUCGUGAUUUGAGAAUGCCAGGGUAUGAAGGACAAAAGGUGAAAUUGGAGACAAGCGUCGGCGCUGUUAAACCAAAGCGUAGUAGUGUGGACGCUGCCCUUCUCUACGCUGCGUUUGUUCACACGUCUUUUGUUUCAACGCCCUUUGUGUUCUGCCAGAGUCUCGGGGUAUCUCAGACUGGAUGGCAAACUUUCAGAAAAUGACAACAAAAAGUGUCAUAUGUGUUAGGGUGGAGUCAACCUUCCUUUGGCACAACGGGGAACCUGCAGUGCCAGCAUCAGAAAAGGUGCCAUACGGGCAGAGAGCAGUAGGUGGCAGAUUCUCCACUUUUUAAUAUUAAAGACCAGCAGGAGGCGCUCAUUAUCUCCAGUUUCUAUAAGUUUCCCCCAUUUAACAAAAGGACAAUUGUCAUAGUGUCUGUGUGUCUGUCCGGCUGCCAUGUCUCUGUUGCAUGCCUUUUGGUAUGGGAUUCAUAAAAGUAGCACCAUCUGUUGGAAUGACAACGACAACGCAUUUUACUACUACAUGUGUUACAGAACAGAUUUCCAUAGAUGGUGCACUGCAAACAUUAGCACUGAAUACGCUGACAUCUAUGGUGACCACUCAGAUUUCAGCCCGUCUUACACGGAAGCACAGCUUGUCAUUGGCAUAAAGUAGCACAUCCGACUCCUAAUAUCACAGGGCAGUAGCAGACACUGUCACCAGUUAAUUCAAUUAACCGUAGGAGGUGCCAUCUCCACAUUAUACCGGUCGAGAAAUGUAGGUGGCGCUGUUUCUUUUUCACAGCACUUGACACCAGCAGGAGGUGCUGUCCUCAGUUUGUACAAUGGAGGAAGAGCACAAGGUGCUUUCUUCGAGUCCUAAAAUUAAAGAACAGUAGGGGGCG